AGAUGUCACCAGUCAAAGAGAAUGUGUUGAAUGAGAAGCAGAGCUUUUGUGUCCCAGCUGAAGGAGUUAUGGAGCUCUGCAAACAUGUUGUGGUCUCUUCAGCAAUAUCAUGCAUGGACAAAUGUGCUAAAUGUGUAGGACCUGUAGCGGCACACAAGUGGAUUGGCCUGAGAUGUACAUUGUGCUCCAGUUUUUGGCACAAGUCCUGUUAUGCAAAACAUCAUGAAUGGAAUGAACAGUCCUCAUGG